AAACAAACAUGGACGUACCUAGAGGAGCAGAAAUUAUUUUGGUGUUUCUUAAUAUUUUCCUAUAUAAUGAAGAAUACAAAUUAAAUCAGGGGUCUAUCGACCUAUUCUGUAGGUGACAAGCCACCGAGGAUGAAUAAGGCCACCGAGGAUGGAUAAGGCCACCUCAGAUAUACAACAAAUCGUCAUCGUUGGAAUGGUGGACGGUGUCGUCACCGUCGCGCCACCGCGUCGGUUUUUUUUUUUUUUUCCAAAUUCAUUUUUAUUAAUUCAAUCUUAAACCUAUCUUAAAGCUAGACAAAAAUUCAUAAAACUAGCCUAAUUAUCCAUAACUUACAACUAACUUAAUGGUCACAUACGGAGACUCUAAGUUAAACUAUAACACUUAAAACUAAUGAUCUAUUUUACUUCAUUUAAAUUUUAUUUAUUUUGUAUUUAUUAGAAAAUUUGAAAAAAAAACUAAUAUUAAUAUCCUUUUUUAUUUUUACUUACAAACUACUUAAAAUA